rnacentral:rRNA from 1 species
GGGCCCGCACAAGCGGUGGAGCAUGUGGUUUAAUUCGAUGAUACGCGAGGAACCUUACCAGGGCUUAAAUGGGAAAUGACAGGGGCAGAGACGCCCCCUUCUUCGGACAUUUUUCAAGGUGCUGCAUGGUUGUCGUCAGCUCGUGCCGUGAGGUGUCAGGUUAAGUCCUAUAACGAGCGCAACCCCUACCGUUAGUUGCCAGCGUGUAAUGACGGGGACUCUAACGGAACUGCCGGUGCAAACCGUGAGGAAGGUGGGGACGACGUCAAGUGCCUCAUGGCCCUUACGGGUUGGGCUACACACGUGCUACAAUGGUAGUGACAAUGGGUUAAUCCCAAAAAGCUAUCUCAGU